rnacentral:rRNA from 1 species
AUGGUUUUUCCUGCUUCUGCCCGGUCUGGACGUCGCCGCCGAGGUCGUUCUCGACGCUGUUGUGCGUGGUCAGUUGCUUGUGGUUCGUUCAGGCGGCGUGCCCGCUCUACGGCUCACCGGCCACUUCGUUCUUGCCUGCCUGGUGGCCAGCGUUUGGACUCGGACCAGUUUCUUAGUGAAGAUCUUGAUAGCCGCCAUCGAGAGAUUUCAUUAGGGAAGCGGCCUGUUGAUUGCACUGUUGGUUCGACCAUUACUGCUGGUUCUUCUUCCGCAUCUGAUGGCUUUGUGUGUGCUGCUCGGCCCUCCAUUGUGCGAACUGGCGAAUCACACAAAACCACCAACAAUGGGUCUAAUUUGUAA